rnacentral:pre_miRNA from 1 species
CUCGGGUGGGGGGUCACUCAGCCUGGAUUGCAAGAGGGUGCAGGCCAGGCCAAGGGGCCCCACCGGUGCAUG